rnacentral:rRNA from 1 species
UACAGAGGUCCCAAGCGUUGUUCGGAUUCACUGGGCGUAAAGGGUGCGUAGGUGGCCGGGUAAAUUUGAUGUGAAAUCUCCGAGCUUAACUCGGAAACUGCAUUGAAUACUAUUCUGCUCGAGGUUUGGAAGGGGGACUGGAAUUCUCGGUGUAGCAGUGAAAUGCGUAGAUAUCGAGAGGAACACCAGUGGCGAAGGCGAGUCCCUGGACAACACCUGACACUGAGGCACGAAAGCUAGGGGAGCAAACAGG